UUGAGAAGGACUUGGGGCAGGACCCUGAGAUUGUGACCUCAGCCAAAACCAUGACUCGGAUGCUUAACUGACUGUGCCACCCAGGCGCCCCAGACCUAAUCUUUUAAUCAUUUUUAUUUCUCUCUAGCAUUGAAUAGGAUGGCAGUUAAGCUUAAAACCAAUUUCAGUGUGGAGUCUACAGAUUUUCACGUAUUACUAAAUUGAAUUAAUUCAUGGAAUUAUAGACCACAGGUCUGGAUGUUUAGUGGAACAUCUGCAAAGUGUUUAAUGGGUUAGGGUACUGUAGAAGAGGAUUAGAAUUGUAGAAGAUAAUCAACCUCUAAUCCAUUUUGAAAGCAUUCUUCAAAUUGUAGGUAUUUUAAAAUCAAUAACAAUAAUGAUUCACAGUGACCUCAAUUAAAAAAAUGUCUUGCUCUUCCUGCCAAAAUUAAAAUCUUAUAUAUUUCAGGUUGCUCAUAAAGACUUUAACAACAUGGAAUAACCUAGCAAUAGUAACAGGUGGGAUUCCAAUUUUUAAAGUGCUACUAAUGCAAUAAUUUAUUUAAAGUUAUUCUUUGUACCUCACAAGGGCUCAAGGUUGUUUACAAGAAAGUACAGUAGAUUAGAAGGAAGAAGAUUUGGGUCAGCUUCCAUAUCAUUACUUAACUAGAUUCUUGACUUAUAGUAAAUCACUUAAAAUCCUUGAGCCGCUGUUUCCUUGUGUAGACCCCUACCUCAUUUAGCUCAUCUGUUAGGCUGGCUUCCUGCAACAGUGCCCAACACACUGCAAGCAUGCAGCUAAUAUUUGCCGGCUGACCUAACAACAUUGGUUGGACACAAAAAUAAAAUAUUGUCAUGCAUACCUCAGAUGUGUUGCCAGGAGGUUAAAAUGAUAAACUGGUAUAAUAUGUGAAAAAAUGGUUUGAGAACCAUAUAAGGCUAUAUAGACACACAGUGCGUUUCUUUUUACAAAUGGAGGAAGAUGUUCUUUUUCCAUUUUUCAAGUGUGGAUACAUUUUUGGUACCUCACUUGAAAUUAAGAUAAAUGUGUUAAUAACUGCAAGUUAUUUCAAAUCAUAAAGCUUAUAAAUCUACACAUAUGCUGAGAAAAAUAAGCCAUAUAUACCUAAAGCUUCAGAGAACUUCAAUGAUUGCUUAAGAUUAAUGGGACUUUAGAGAUAAAAUACCUGUGAUUUUCAAUAGUGCGGUAAACUCUUCAGACAAGUUCAGAUUAAAAAGUCAAAGGUGAACUCCCUAUAACAGUCAUAAUCUAUAAUAGCUUUACUGUAUUUUAAAGAGAGAUUUACAGGUACUAACACUUAAGGUCUAAGAUACAGUUAGGUGAAAAAUGCAAACUAGACAUUUAUAUUUUCAUAAAGAGAAACGAACCUGUAUUAUCUUCCGAUGUUCAAAUAUAUGUGUAUGAAUAUCUUGAAAAAGGCUGAGAAGGUACAUACCUAAUUAUAAUAAUGAUAACAGUGAGGAUGGGAGUGGAACUGCAGAAGGGCGGGAAGGGACUUUGGCUUUAUUGGUAUUGUCUGGAAUGUGAUAAUAUCAGGAAUGUGAAAAAACAGACAAGAGCAUAUGACCAAGUCACAGAAUCUCUGGAGCCUUAUUUAAAUAUUGAAGAUGGAAGGUGUUCUUUCAUGGAGUAGGUGAAAUAGUUUUCCUACAGAGCAGAAAGGCUCAGUGGCUGACUGCAAACCGAUACCUAACAUUAAAUAUGAUACAAAAAAAAAAAAAAAAAA
rnacentral:lncRNA from 1 species